rnacentral:rRNA from 1 species
CCUACGGGUGGCUGCAGUCGAGAAUCUUCGGCAAUGGGCGCAAGCCUGACCGAGCGACGCCGCGUGCGGGAUGAAGGCCCUUGGGUUGUAAACCGCUGUCAGGGGGGAGCAAGGCGCAAGCUUGAGCGAGCCCCAGAGGAAGCACGGGCUAAGUUCGUGCCAGCAGCCGCGGUAAUACGAACUGUGCGAACGUUAUUCGGAAUCACUGGGCUUACAGGGUGCGUAGGCGGCCUUUCAAGUCAGGUGUGAAAUCCCCCAGCUCAACUGGGGAACUGCGCUUGAAACUGGGAGGCUGGAGUCAGCUAGAGGUGCACGGAACUUCCGGUGGAGCGGUGAAAUGUGUUGAUAUCGGAAGGAACACCAGAGGCGAAAGCGGUGCACUGGGGCUGUUCUGACGCUGAGGCACGAAAGCCAGGGGAGCGAACGGGAUUAGAUACCCU